GACGAACGCUGGCGGCGUGCUUAACACAUGCAAGUCGAACGGAAAGGCCCUGCUUUUGUGGGGUGCUCGAGUGGCGAACGGGUGAGUAACACGUGAGUAACCUGCCCUUGACUUUGGGAUAACUUCAGGGAACUGGGGCUAAUACCGGAUAGGAGCUCCUGCUGCAUGGUGGGGGUUGGAAAGUUUCGGCGGUUGGGGAUGGACUCGCGGCUUAUCAGCUUGUUGGUGGGGUAGUGGCUUACCAAGGCUUUGACGGGUAGCCGGCCUGAGAGGGUGACCGGCCACAGUGGGACUGAGAUACGGCCCAGACUCCUACGGGAGGCAGCAGUGGGGAAUAUUGCACAAUGGGCGGAAGCCUGAUGCAGCAACGCCGCGUGCGGGAUGACGGCCUUCGGGUUGUAAACCGCUUUCGCCUGUGACGAAGCGUGAGUGACGGUAAUGGGUAAAGAAGCACCGGCUAACUACGUG
rnacentral:rRNA from 1 species